rnacentral:lncRNA from 9 species
AGAUCUAUUUUUUUCGGAUUAUUUUCCACUUUAAGUUAGUGGAUAUAGUUCCCUGUGCUACACAGCAGUUCCUUUUCACUGAUUUUUAUAUAUAGCAGUAUGUCUGCUAAUAUCAUACUCCUAAUAAUCCUCCCCGACCCCCUUUCUUUUUACUUAGUCAUAAAAAGGAUGAAAUAUUGCCAUUUGCAGCAACAUGGAUGGACCUAGAGAUGGUCAUACUAAGUGAAAUAAGUCAGACAUAGACAAGUAUUAUAUGAUAUUAUUACAUAUAGAAUCUAAAAAAAUACAAAAGAAUCCAUUUAUAAAACAAAAUAGACUCAUAGAAAACUGUAGUCUUAAAAACCAAAAGAAGAGUUCCCACUGUGGCUCAGCAGUAACGAAUCCGACUAGGAUCCAUGAGGAUGCAGGUUCGAUCCUUGGCUUUGCUCAGUGGGUUAAGGAUUCAGUGUUGCCAUGAGCUGUCGUGUAGGUUGCAGACUCGGCUCAGAUCCUGCAUUCCUGUGGCUGGGGUGUAGGCUGGUGGCUACAGCUCCGAUUCCAUCUCUAGCCUGGGAUGCCGUGGGUGCGGCUCUAAAAAGUAAAAAAACAAAAAUCAAAAAACCAACAGAGACAUAUUAGUGACUCAGAUGACUUCCUGAGAGGACAGAAAUAAACAUUUUUUGCUUGUUUCUUUGAACAUAGCGAGUCAUAAAUCUCAGCUUAUGAAUCACUAUCCUGGAAUCUGCUGUAGGACAGAGAAACCCAGCUUCGCAAGAAUCAAAGCUGCAGUUUACGAAGCUUUCCUGAGAGUUUCCUUGCUGUGCUCCUCUGAUGGAUGUGCAAGAUCAAGGAAUAUUCGGCAGGAGGGCGAGAGGGAGAGAAGUCUCCCGGGGAGAUGGUCACUUCACUUCCUCCUUCCUGUAACCUCUGGUAGCCAGUCUCCUAUUCUCCGUUUCUCUGAAAUCAGCCUUCGAUUGGGGAAAGGAAAAGGAGGUCACAGUGGCCCCAGGACUCUUGGAUUUGCUGUUUUCUCAAGAGGUAAUAUUCCUCCUUCAGAGGGGUACAUGGCUGGCCUCUCACUGCUUUCAGGUUUGUACUCUAACUUUAUCAACGAGUUUUCCUGACGACCCCUUCUAAAAAAGCGGUGCUUAGCCAUUGUUCUUUGUGUGUGUGUCCUAUCCUAUUCGUGUAGCCAGAACUAACUUCACACCAUGUGCUCUGUAGACCUGUAUGGUUGGUUACUAGUUAUUGCUUGCUGCCCUCACCUUGGAAUGGGAGCUCCGUGAGAACUCUCGUCAGAUGUUUCUUGAAUAAAUGGCCAAAGAGGAAAUGUCCAGAAUGGGUUGCGGUACAGCUUUCACCUGCUUGCUGGGUCUCAUGGUCUGUCUACAUUAGAAUCACCAAGUAUAACUGCACAAAAAAACAGAUUCCUGGGCCUCCCCUAGAUCUGGAAGUGGGGGCUCCAAGAGUCUGUAUUUAUCUUUCGUGGGUUACUUCCUAAUGGUUUAUAUUUUUCAGUUGAUUCCUUUAUCAGAAGAUUCCUCCAUACUUGGUUUGUAUGUAGGGCAACCAGAGAUCCCGUUCCAUUUGUUUGCAUGACUCGAUCAGCUUAAAAGGUUGGAUCAGGUAGUUAUUCUAAGAGAAAAACUUCCCCUGAGGACGGUGCCCUAUAAUCAGAGAUACGCCAGGAAGGCCUUCGUAUCAGACAUUAGUCUUUCCAGCUUGCGCACAAGCAUGAUGUGAUCAGCCUUCAGCACUGCUUAUGUGCUAAGUUUCUUCUUGCUGCAAGGUCCUCUCCCAUGAGCAUUUCAGCAGUUGACCUAACAAAUAAAGUGGCCUGUGGUUGUUGACCAGCUGCAGGAAGAUCAGAACUCUGAGUUUUGUAUCUUGGUUAGUGCAGCCAAAGUACGAAAAGAUGACAUCGACU